GGGGGAUUGGCGCAAUGGUAGCGCGUUGGUUUUCGGUUCUUAUGUGUCUGUUACACCAAAGGUUGUGGGUUCGAGCCCCAUGUCCCUCG